rnacentral:rRNA from 1 species
CACGUAGGGGGCGAGCGUUGUCCGGAUUUAUUGGGCGUAAAGAGCUCGUAGGCGGCUCAGUUAGUCGGGUGUGAAACCCCCGGGCUCAACCCGGGGACGCCACCCGAUACUGCUGUGGCUAGAGUCCGGUAGGGGAGCGUGGAAUUCCUGGUGUAGCGGUGAAAUGCGCAGAUAUCAGGAGGAACACCAGCGGCGAAGGCGGCGCUCUGGGCUGGAACUGACGCUGAGGAGCGAAAGCGUGGGGAGCGAACAGG